rnacentral:Y_RNA from 1 species
GGCGGUCCGAAGGUAGUGCCUUAUCUCAAUUGAUAGUGCAGUCAGUUAUAGAUCAGACUCCUUGUUUUGCUCUUUCCCCCUUCUCACUACUGCACUUGACUAGUCUUUA